rnacentral:rRNA from 1 species
AACGAACGCUGGCGGCAUGCCUAACACAUGCAAGUCGAACGAGACCUUCGGGUCUUGUGGCGCACGGGUGCGUAACGCGUGGGAACCUGCCCUUAGGUUCGGAAUAACUCCCCGAAAGGGGUGCUAAUACCGGAUAAUGUCUUCGGACCAAAGAUUUAUCGCCUUUGGAUGGGCCCGCGUUGGAUUAGCUUGUUGGUAGGGUAAAAGCCUACCAAGGCGACGAUCCAUAGCUGGUUCGAGAGGAAGAUCAGCCACACUGGGACUGAGACACGGCCCAGACUCCUACGGGAGGCAGCAGUGGGGAAUAUUGGACCAUGGGCGAAAGCCUGAUCGAGCAAGGCCGCGUGAGUGAUGAAGGCCUUAGGGUUGUAAAGCUCUUUUAACCGGGAUGAUAAUGACGGUACCGGGAGAAUAAGCCCCGGCUAACUCCGUG